CUACGGGUCGCAGCAGUGGGGAAUAUUGGACAAUGGGGGAAACCCUGAUCCAGCAAUGCCGCGUGUGUGAAGAAGGCCUGCGGGUUGUAAAGCACUUUCGGUUGGGAGGACUGCUUCUAGCACUAAUAUUGUUGGAAGUUGACGUUACCUUCAGAAGAAGCACCGGCUAACUCCGUGCCAGCAGCCGCGGUAAUGCGGGAGGGUGCAAGCGUUAAUCGGAAUUACUGGGCGUAAAGCGCGCGUAGGCGGCUAGAUCAGUCGGGUGUGAAAGCCCCGGGCUUAACCUGGGAACUGCAUCCGAUACUGUCUAGCUUGAGUACAGGAGAGGAGAGUGGAAUUCCACAUGUAGCGGUGAAAUGCGUAGAUAUGUGGAGGAACACCAAUGGCGAAGGCAGCUCUCUGGCCUGAUACUGACGCUGAGGUGCGAAAGCGUGGGGAGCAAACAGGAUUAGAUACCCUUGUAGUC
rnacentral:rRNA from 1 species